rnacentral:misc_RNA from 1 species
UGCAGCUGGCUUUGCUGGUUCAGGACGCCUAUAUGUGCUCUUUUUUGUUUGGGCCCCAGUACGACCAGGAGGAGCUCGUUUCCUGCUCUGUGGAGCAGAUACUUCAAAAGAAUUAUGUAUGCCCCCNNNNNNNGCCUCUUUUGACCAUCACUGCAACUUCUAAUAUCACUAGAAGGCGACAAUACAACUGCAUUGGAACUCAAAAAAUCCACUUUCCUAUGAAGGACCCUGACCUGAUUAAG